CGGGAAGAGCUCAAAUUUGAAAUCUGGUGGCCUCAGGCUAUCCGAGUUGUAAUCUAUAGAAACAUUUUCCGCGUUGGCCCAUGUACAAGUCUCUUGGAAUAGAGCGUCAUAGAGGGUGAGAAUCCCG
rnacentral:rRNA from 1 species